rnacentral:tRNA from 1 species
GGGCGUGUGGUCUAGUGGUAUGAUUCUCGCUUUGGGAACAACUUCUUCGAAUAUGCGAGAGGCCCUGGGUUCAAUUCCCAGCUCGCCCC